AUUAACUCAACUCGCCAAAACCCCAACAAACUCAAGUUUUCCGGAUUUGGUAAAGCUGAAAGUCACACAAGUUUCUUUAUUUGUGAGAAUAGGCCAUUCCCGGCACCGGUCGUAAUCAGGCAAAUCAACCCAGCCCCACCUCGCCACGUAUGCGGACGUGAUGCAGUGAAAUUCUGUCACGUUACCUUGCGUGGUACACUAGCUCAAGGAGGCCGUGAAUCUGUUCAUGGAGGUGAUAAUUGUUCUCUCUUCUAUAUCAGCUAGAGCUUUCUGGUAUUUGAUAAUAUUUCUCCAUAUACAUGGAAUGGAGGCAGUGGAGAGUGGCAGAAAGCAAGAUGAAGAGAGAAUGAUGGAGAUAAGAGAAGAGCUUGAGGCUUUGGCAAAUGAACUCCUAUCUCCAUAGCCAAGACAUGUGGCUUCUGCACCUUUCUAGUGUUUCCGUAUAACAUACUUCCUCUACAUAAAUACAAGAUGGGAUUUUGCCUAGCCAUCAUUUUCAAAAUUCAUUUACUUGUUUGCUCAAUUUUCUCUUUUGUCUUUUCUUUUCACUAAUUUUGCAAAUGAAUAAACUCCCCCAACUACUAAUCCUAUGUAUUGGCUUUUAAAAUGAGAAAAUGAACAAUACAUUGGCGAUA